GAUGAACGCUGGCGGCGUGCCUAAUACAUGCCAGUCGAGCGAACAGACGAGGAGCUUGCUCCUCUGACGUUAGCGGCGGACGGGUGAGUAACACGUGGAUAACCUACCUAUAAGACUGGGAUAACUUCGGGAAACCGGAGCUAAUACCGGAUAACAUGUUGAACCGCAUGGUUUAACAGUGAAAGACGGUCUUGCUGUCACUUAUAGAUGGAUCCGCGCCGCAUUAGCUAGUUGGUAAGGUAACGGCUUACCAAGGCAACGAUGCGUAGCCGACCUGAGAGGGUGAUCGGCCACACUGGAACUGAGACACGGUCCAGACUCCUACGGGGGGCAGCAGUAGGGAAUCUUUCGCAAUGGGCGAAAGCCUGACGGAGCAACGCCGCGUGAGUGAAGAAGGUCUUCGGAUCGUAAAACUCUGUUAUUAGGGAAGAACAAAUGUGUAAGUAACUAUGCACGUCUUGACGGUACCUAAUCAGAAAGCCACGGCUAACUACGUG
rnacentral:rRNA from 1 species